UACGUAGGGGGCUAGCGUUGUCCGGAAUCAUUGGGCGUAAAGAGCGUGUAGGCGGCCCGGUAAGUCCGCUGUAAAAGUCAAAGGCUCAACCUUUGAAUGUCAGUGGAUACUGCCGGGCUAGAGUCCGGAAGAGGCGAGUGGAAUUCCCGGUGUAGCGGUGAAAUGCGCAGAUAUCGGGAGGAACACCAAUUGCGAAGGCAGCUCGCUGGGACGUUACUGACGCUGAGACGCGAAAGCGUGGGGAGCAAACAGG
rnacentral:rRNA from 1 species